AGAUUUUGAUGAUGAUGAUAUUCUUACCUACAUUGUAUGAAUACAUGUGAUUUAUUAUUUUACCUGAGAAAUCU